CCUACGGUGGGCAGCAGUGAGGAAUCUUGGUCAAUGGCCGAGAGGCUGAACCAGCCAAGUCGCGUGAGGGAAGACGGCCCUACGGGUUGUAAACCUCUUUUGUCGGGGAGCAAAGAGAGUCACGUGUGACUCAUUGAGAGUACCCGAAGAAAAAGCAUCGGCUAACUCCUUGCCAGCAGCCGCGGUAAUAAGGAGGAUGCGAGCUAUAUCCGGAGUUAUUGGGUUUACAGGGUGCGCAGGCGGAGGUGCAAGUCAGCGGUCAAAUUGCGGGGCUCAACCCCGUACUGCCGUUGAAACUGCAUCCCUUGAGUGCGCGAGAAGUACGCGGAAUGCGCGGUGUAGCGGUGAAAUGCAUAGAUAUCGCGCAGAACGCCGAUUGCGAAGGCAGCGUACCGGCGCCAGACUGACGCUGAGGCACGAAAGCGUGGGGAUCGAACAGGAUUAGAUACCCGUGUAGUC
rnacentral:rRNA from 1 species